AGAAAGAAAAGGGAGAUGUCAUAAUGGCAUAUCCUAUGGAAGAUGCUCAAACUAGUCAGCCCCCUUCAAUUGCCACAAAAGAAAAAAAAUUGAAGCCCUAUAUCAACCCAUACAAAGCUUCAAUAUCAAACCCUCUUAAUAAUUCAGCACCAUCAUGGCCACCCUUGCCAUUCGCUUCAACUAGACAAGGGUGGCCAAUGGGCAACUUCGAUCCUUUGGCAUUUUGGCUUCCUCGCCUAGCAUCUCUCUUCACUUCAUUACAUAUAUAUAUAUAUGAUUUCUGAGGCUCGAGGGCAACUCAUAGUAUAUGUUAUAUUUCCAAGUAUUUUCUUGUUUAUCUUUAUAAUUUGGUGGUUUGUUUAGUUAGUAUUUUGUAAGCCAGUGACCAAAGUUUCAGUGUGCUGCAGUCUUGUUGUAGUAGCUUAUCUUUUGUAUUUGAUCUUCCUCCUAAUAUUAAUUUUAUGUCGUAGUUAAAAUUA